rnacentral:lncRNA from 1 species
UCUAAAAAGUAAAUUUUGUAAUUUUUUAAAAUAACAUAAAGUCUAUCAAGUAGGUAUAAAAUAAAUGGUUAAAAUCAAACGGCGUUCUAUAAAUGGAUGAUCGGAUCCUUCAAUUUAAAACCGGAGUUAUUAAUCCUUAUCUAGGCAGUGAAUAGAAUUUUCUAUCAAAAAUUCAACUUAUUCCAAUUCUUUUAUACUGUUAGACUAGGAAGUAUUCCAUUCCGACCGUUAAAAAUUAUCAAUUUUGUGAUAUUUUAAUCGUAAGGUAAAUGAUGUUGAAAAAUAAUAAAAUUUAAUUUUUAGAAGUUUUAAAAUUUUUAGAUAAUGUUUAACGGUAUGGAUCGUCGAUUCGAAAGCUCUAUCAUCGAAAAUGACUUAUGAGUACGAGGACAAUCGUACUUAUAAGAGUAUAGUAGCUGGACUCGUAGCUGGACU